GGGCGGGUGGCAGAGCGGUUGAAUGCACCAGUCUUGAAAACUGGCGUGGGGGCAACUCCACCGGGGGUUCGAAUCCCUCCCCGCCCGCCA
rnacentral:tRNA from 1 species